UACGUAGGCAGCAAGCGUUGUUCGGAAUUACUGGGCGUAAAGCGUGUGUAGGCGGUUGGGUAAGUCUGGUGUGAAAUCUCCCGGCUCAACUGGGAGGGUGCGCCGGGAACUGCCUGGCUGGAGUGCGGAAGAGGAGAGUGGAAUUCCCGGUGUAGCGGUGAAAUGCGUAGAUAUCUGGAGGAAUACCGGUGGCGAAGGCGGCAUCCUGGACCGGCAUUGACGCUGAUGAGCGAAAGCUAGGGGAGCAAACAGG
rnacentral:rRNA from 1 species